UAAUUUUAUUGAGCCAAUCUGAUUUAUUUAAUGUAGACAACUGUUAGGAUGGCAGCUGAACUCAUUUCAUUUUUUGCCUGGACCAAAAGGACAAUGGCAUCCGUAACAGAAAUUAUGGGGCAGAACUGCACUGUGUGCUAACAAUGGGACAUGAAACAUCACAUAGUGAUAAAGCAUAUUAGGGCAGAAAAUAAAUUAAUCCUAUUUAAAGAUCUAUCACUGCAUGUUUGCUAUUUUAGAACAAACUGAAUCUGGAGCCAAUAUUUGAUUUGGAAAAGCUAUUAAAAUACAAUGCAAACAUGCAAAAUGGAAUUUGAAGACUUCAACUCUUGGGAUCUUGAAAAGCAAGAGAGAGUUGCCAGUGGUGUAUCUAUUGGUUCCACCUGCUUCUUGAGUGUCUUCCAGAACAUCAUGAUGGUCCCAGAAACUCCAAGAUGUCAGAACUUAAAAUAAAAGCUCUACGCGCCUCUCUAACAAUCAGCGGCUGGAUCCUAACUGUGGGGGUAAAUACCACUUUCUCUCUUCUUGUGACUGAGAAUGAACAGUGGAAACAUCACAAAGAAGUUUGACUGGGAUUGCUGAAUAACAAGAUCACACAAUCACCAUUUGCCUUACUUUUAACUUCCUUCCUGUCGGCCAUUUAGGAUUCAUGAUCUGGGCCAGCAUCUCCAUAGUUUUCAAGCUCUUAAGAUAUAAACAGUGGUCCAGCACAUUCACAGGAACAACAUCUCCAGAAUUUCCCUGGAAGUGAGGGUUACCCAAGGCAUGCUUGUCUUGAUAAGCACCUUUGUAUCAUUUUAAGCUCUCUCUUCCACCUUUUCAUUUCAUUUGGCUCUUUCUGAAAAUCCCUGUUGGUGGGUGCUGAACCCCUCUGUCCUAAUCACCCCAUGGUUUUUUAACAAUCAGCCCUUUUGUUCUCUGGAGCCCUGACCUUAUUGUGUCCAGGGUCAUCUCUGCACGCUGCAGAAGGAAUACACAACCUUCUAAAAUGACAAGAUACCUAUAAACUAUUGUAAACUGUUAAAGAAUGUGUAGUCAUGUGUUCAUUCACUCCUUGCAGAGAUUUAAGCACUGGAGGGGGCAGUCACAUAAUAGAGAGGAUGUGAAAAGCAAAUGCAGCCAUCACCUCCUUCAGAAUUUCCACAGGAAACAGAAGAGGAGUUAUUAACUUGCAUAUUUCCUAUUAGACAUUAUUAAGAGUGGAUAUGAUACUACUGAAAAUGUGAAAACCUAGUUUUACAAUUUGCUUGUAUUAUUCACAUAUAGAAUAGAUAUCCUUAUCACAUGUCUCUGGAAUUAUUUCAAAACCAGUAUUUCGUCACUACUAGGAAAAGUUAAAUAUCUCUGAAAGAGUACACCUUUUAGAAGCUACGUUAUCUGCCUUUGGUACCAAGCAUUCAGAAACAGAAAACAAAAAGAUCAGUUAAAAUAUUGAAUUUUGGGGGCACCUGUGUGGCUCAGUUGGUUAAACCUCGGACUCUGGGUUGUGACUCAUAUCAGGAUCUCAGAGUUUGUGAGAUCCAGCCCCAGUAGGGGCAGGGGCUCUGCUCAGAGCCUGGUUGGGAUCCUCUCUCUGUCUGCCUCUCCCUUGCUUGCGUUCUCUCCCUUGCUCUCUCUCUCAAUAUAAAUAAACGUUUUUAAAAAUUUUAAUUUUCA
ensembl:lncRNA